rnacentral:rRNA from 1 species
AAUCAACGCUGGCGGCGUGCCUAACACAUGCAAGUCGAACGCGAAAGUCCCUUCGGGGAUGAGUAGAGUGGCGUCCGGGUGAGUAACGCGUGGGUAAUCUGCCUUUGGGUGGGGAAUAACUCAGGGAAACUUGAGCUAAUACCGCAUAAUGCAGCGGCUCGACAUCGAGACAGUUGUUAAAGCUCCUCGCAAGAGGGGCGCCUGAAGAGGAGCCUGCGUCUGAUUAGCUAGUUGGUGAGGUAAUGGCUCACCAAGGCUACGAUCAGUAGCUGGUCUGAGAGGACGGCCAGCCACAAUGGCACUGAAAACACGGGGCCAUACUCCUACGGGUGGCUG